GACGAACGCUGGCGGCGUGCUUAACACGUGCAAGUCGAACGGUGAAGCGCCUUCCUUUUUGGUGGGUGUGGAUGAGUGGCGAACGGGUGAGUAACACGUGAGUAACCUGCCCCCUUCCUCUGGAUAACCGCAUGAAAGUGUGGCUAAUACGGGCUAUUCUGGGUCUGUCGCAUGAUGGGUCUGGGAAAGCUAUUGUUUCGGUGGGGGAUGGGCUCGCGGCCUAUCAGCUUGUUGGUGGGGUGAUGACCUACCAAGGCGGCGACGGGUAGCCGGCCUGAGAGGGUGGACGCGCACACUGGGACGGAGACACCAGCGAGAAUCGGAAGGGAGGCAGCGGUAAUGAAUAGUGCACAAUGGGCGCAAGCCAGAUGCAGCUGGGCCGCGUGAGGGAGGGAGGCCGUCGGGUUAGUAAGCUCAUUCGCCAGAAAAGAAGGCCUGCCUCGUUUGUGAGUGGGUUGACGGUAGCUGGGUAAGAAGCGCCGGCUAACUACGU
rnacentral:rRNA from 1 species